rnacentral:snoRNA from 1 species
CCCCUCGACAAUGAAGAACUGAUCGCCUACAUUCUUCAAGGCCUCGGGAGAGAAUAUGAAUCCCUCGUCACCUCCAUCACCACGCAGGUCGACUCCUACACCCUCAGCGAUGUCUUCGCCCACAUGUUGAGUGCUGAGA